GUGUAGUGCGAUGUGGGGACGGAUCUUAAUAGGUCAUCCGGGUGUUGGAUAUCCCGGUUUAGGCAGAUGUAGGCGACAGGUAGGCAAAUCCGCCUGUCAUAUACCGAGGCUGCCGAUCGAGCGAGCUUGCUCGCGAAGUGAUUGAACGAGGUUCCAGGAAAAGCCACUAAGCUUCAGCUACACACGACCGUACCGCAAACCGACACUGGUGCGCGAGAUGAGUAUUCUAAGGCGCUUGAGAGAACUCGGGAGAAGGAACUCGGCAAAUUGACACCGUAACUUCGGAAGAAGGUGUGCCCUAUUAGUGUGAAGUGAACAACGGAGCAUGAAUGGGUUGCAAAAAAUCGGUGGCUGCGACUGUUUAUUAAAAACACAGCACUCUGCAAACACGAAAGUGGACGUAUAGGGUGUGACGCCUGCCCGGUGCUGGAAGAUUAAAUGAUGGGGUGCAAGCUCUUGAUUGAAGUCCCAGUAAACGGCGGCCGUAACGAUAACGGUCCUAAGGUAGCGAAAUUCCUUGUCGGGUAAGUUCCGACCUGCACGAAUGGCGUAACGAUGGCCACACUGUCUCCUCCCGAGACUCAGCGAAGUUGAAAUGUUUGUGAUGAUGCAAUCUCCCCGCGGAAAGACGGAAAGACCCCAUGAACCUUUACUGUAGCUUUGUAUUGGACUUUGAACAGAUCUGUGUAGAUAGGUGGGAGGCUUUGAAGCAGGGUCGCUAGAUCUUGUGGAGCCAACGUUGAAAUACCACCCUGGUGUGUUUGAGGUUCUAACCUAGGUCCAUUAUCUGGAUCGGGGACAGUGCAUGGUAGGCAGUUUGACUGGGGCGGUCUCCUCCCAAAGCGUAACGGAGGAGUUCGAAGGUACGCUAGUUACGGUCGGACAUCGUGACGAUAGUGCAAUGGCAUAAGCGUGCUUAACUGCGAGACUGACAAGUCGAGCAGAUGCGAAAGCAGGACAUAGUGAUCCGGUGGUUCUGUAUGGAAGGGCCAUCGCUCAACGGAUAAAAGGUACUCUGGGGAUAACAGGCUGAUACCGCCCAAGAGUUCAUAUCGACGGCGGUGUUUGGCACCUCGAUGUCGGCUCAUCUCAUCCUGGGGCUGUAGCCGGUCCCAAGGGUAUGGCUGUUCGCCAUUUAAAGAGGUACGUGAGCUGGGUUUAAAACGUCGUGAGACAGUUUGGUCCCUAUCUUCCGUGGGCGCUGCAGAUUUGAGGAAGCCUGCUCCUAGUACGAGAGGACCGGAGUGGACGCACCUCUGGUGUAUCGGUUGUCACGCCAGUGGCAUUGCCGAGUAGCUAUGUGCGGAAGAGAUAACCGCUGAAAGCAUCUAAGCGGGAAACUCGUUCCAAGAUGAGAUCUGCCGGGGCCUUGAGCCCCCUAAAGAGUCGUUCAAGACCAGGACGUUGAUAGGUCGGGUGUGGAAGCGCAGUAAUGCGUUAAGCUAACCGAUACUAAUUGCUCGUGCGGCUUGACCC
rnacentral:rRNA from 1 species